rnacentral:pre_miRNA from 1 species
CUGUGUGUGGUGAUUAGGCAGUGUACUGUUAGUAGCUGUAUUCUACAAAUACCAGCAACUGACUACACUGCCACAUUACCACAUCACUG